GUGGCAAUCGACAAUCGUCGUCAUUUGUAGAAGACCGUUAAUAAUUCUAAAAGUUUUAUUGAACAGUCUUUAAACAACAGCCUUUAGUAUAUGACGAGUUCUCUCAUUUUUAUAGAAUAUUUUAAUAAUUUCAUUCUGAAGCUCAAAGAAGACGAAUGAAGAAAUAAGAGCUAGCUGUUUCUUCGGCGGUGAUGGUACACGUUUGAACUGUAAAUGUGGUGCAGCUCGAUUUCGCCGAACAGCGUCGAAGAAUACUUACAAUCAUGAUGAAGAUUGUAUGAAGAAAAUUUGGAGUUUAUUCGGCGGCGGUGCACCACUCCGUACACUAUAGAUUGGACAACUCUUAAAUCUUGCCAUAAUAUCGGAAAAACAAAAAAAAAGAAAUAAUUACGCUAUAUAAUGUCAACCCGGAGGAAGAUUGGCAGCAUCAAUAGGAAGCUGAUGAAUAACAAAAAAAAGUGUCACAGGGCUGUGUUUGUUUAAUACUAUAAUUUUUUAAACAGUAGUACAGUAUAUUAUGAAUAUUUACUUAAAUUAUAUUUAAUUUUUAUGGUUUUUUUUUAGAUAAUAUACUGUACUACGGUUUUAGGUGUUCUUUUUAUUUUAAUAAUACACUGAAAAAUUACCAACUUUUUCAAUUUUUUUUCUUAUCACAAAGCAAGUUCGUCUUUGUGUAUGUUUAAAUUUAUAUUUUUUAUAGUUAUUGUGCUGUUUAACUUUCUUAUAAAAGAGAGUGAGGAAUUAAAAAGGUGGCCACCGAACAGAAAGUUAAACUACAAUAUACUAUAAUCUUUUUAGUUCUUGUUUACAUUUUUAACUGAUAAAUUAUGAAUAUAAAAUUUCAAAUUAAUUUAAAUUCAAAAAUAAAAGAACACCAACAUAGAUUUCUUAAACAGUAAAAUUUUACUAUAAGUUUGAAUUACAUUUAAUCUGCACAUUAGUUGAAGUUUUAUAGGAAACGAACAUUUGGCUGGAUCGUGGACUACUCACCGACGAAGAAUUUGUCAUUGAGCUGAAGGAAAAUGUGUCGGCACUCGGCUUCGUUUCAACCAGGAGGAAGAUUUGCAGCAUCAAAAAGAAAUUCAAUUGAUGAUAAUCAACUGUCGAAGUGAUGAAGAAUUUGUCAUUGAGCUGGUGGAAAAUGUGUCGGCACUUGGCUGUAUUUCAACACGAAGGACGUCUGGCAGCAGCAAAAAGAAAUUCAACUGACGAUAAUCAACUGUCGAAGUGAAGAAGAAUUUGUCACAAAGCUGAUGGGAAAUAUGUCGGCUGUAUUUCAACACGGAGGACGUCUAGCAGCAGCAAAAAGAAAUUCAACUGACGAUAAUCAACUGUUGAAGUGAAGAAGAAGUUGUCACAAAGCUGAUGGAAAAUGUGUCGACACUCGGCUGUAUUUCAACACGGCCGGAGGACGACUGGCAGCAGCAAAAUGAAAUUCAACUUGAUGAUAAUCAACUGUCGAAGUGAAGAAGAAUUUGUCAUUGAGCUGGUGGAAAAUGUGUCGACACUCGUCUUCGUUUCAACCCGGAGGAAGAUUGGCAGCAUCAAUAAGAAGCUCAUCUUUAUGUCAACUGUUGAAAGGAUUUGUUUGCAUUAUAUUAUAAGUUUAAAUUACAUUUAAUCUGCAUAUUAGUUGAAGUUUUAUAGGAACAGAACAUUUAACUGGAUCAUGGACUAUCCACCGACGAAGGAAGAAUUUGUCAUUGACCUGAUGGAAAAUGUGUCGGCACUCGGCUUCGUUUCAACCCGGAGGAAGAUUUGCAGCAUCAAAAAGAAAUUCAAUUGAUGAUAAUCAACUGUCGAAGUAAAGAAGAAUUUGUCACAAAGCUGAUGGAAAAUGUGUCGACACUCGGCUGUAUUUCAACACGGAGGACGUCUGGCAGCAGCAAAAAGAAAUUCAACUGACGAUAAUCAACUGUUGAAGUGAAGAAGAAUUUGUCACAAAGCUGAUGGGAAAUAUGUCGGCUGUAUUUCAACACGGAGGACGUCUAGCAGCAGCAAAAAGAAAUUCAACUGACGAUAAUCAACUGUUGAAGUGAAGAAGAAGUUGUCACAAAGCUGAUGGAAAAUGUGUCGACACUCGGCUGUAUUUCAACACGGCCGGAGGACGACUGGCAGCAGCAAAAUGAAAUUCAACUUGAUGAUAAUCAACUGUCGAAGUAAAGAAGAAUUUGUCACAAAGCUGAUGGAAAAUGUGUCGACACUCGUCUUCGUUUCAACCCGGAGGAAGAUUGGCAGCAUCAAUAAGAAGCUCAUCUUUAUGUCAACUGUUGAAAGGAUUUGUUUGCAUUAUAUUAUAAGUUUAAAUUACAUUUAAUCUGCAUAUUAGUUGAAGUUUUAUAGGAACAGAACAUUUAACUGGAUCAUGGACUAUCCACCGACGAAGGAAGAAUUUGUCAUUGACCUGAUGGAAAAUGUGUCGGCACUCGGCUUCGUUUCAACCCGGAGGAAGAUUUGCAGCAUCAAAAAGAAAUUCAAUUGAUGAUAAUCAACUGUCGAAGUAAAGAAGAAUUUGUCACAAAGCUGAUGGAAAAUGUGUCGACACUCGGCUGUAUUUCAACACGGAGGACGUCUGGCAGCAGCAAAAAGAAAUUCAACUGACGAUAAUCAACUGUUGAAGUGAAGAAGAAGUUGUCACAAAGCUGAUGGAAAAUGUGUCGACACUCGGCUGUAUUUCAACACGGCCGGAGGACGACUGGCAGCAGCAAAAUGAAAUUCAACUUGAUGAUAAUCAACUGUCGAAGUGAAGAAGAAUUUGUCAUUGAGCUGGUGGAAAAUGUGUCGACACUCGUCUUCGUUUCAACCCGGAGGAAGAUUGGCAGCAUCAAUAAGAAGCUCAUCUUUAUGUCAACUGUUGAAAGGAUUUGUUUGCAUUAUAUUAUAAGUUUAAAUUACAUUUAAUCUGCAUAUUAGUUGAAGUUUUAUAGGAACAGAACAUUUAACUGGAUCAUGGACUAUCCACCGACGAAGGAAGAAUUUGUCAUUGACCUGAUGGAAAAUGUGUCGGCACUCGGCUUCGUUUCAACCCGGAGGAAGAUUUGCAGCAUCAAAAAGAAAUUCAAUUGAUGAUAAUCAACUGUCGAAGUGAUGAAGAAUUUGUCAUUGAGCUGGUGGAAAAUGUGUCGGCACUUGGCUGUAUUUCAACACGAAGGACGUCUGGCAGCAGCAAAAAGAAAUUCAACUGACGAUAAUCAACUGUCGAAGUGAAGAAGAAUUUGUCACAAAGCUGAUGGGAAAUGUGUCGGCACUCGUCUUCGUUUCAACCCGGAGGAAGAUUGGCAGCAUCAAUAAGAAGCUCAUCUUUAUGUCAACUGUUGAAAGGAUUUGUUUGCAUUAUAUUAUAAGUUUAAAUUACAUUUAAUCUGCAUAUUAGUUGAAGUUUUAUAGGAACAGAACAUUUAACUGGAUCAUGGACUAUCCACCGACGAAGGAAGAAUUUGUCAUUGACCUGAUGGAAAAUGUGUCGGCACUCGGCUUCGUUUCAACCCGGAGGAAGAUUUGCAGCAUCAAAAAGAAAUUCAAUUGAUGAUAAUCAACUGUCGAAGUGAUGAAGAAUUUGUCAUUGAGCUGGUGGAAAAUGUGUCGGCACUUGGCUGUAUUUCAACACGAAGGACGUCUGGCAGCAGCAAAAAGAAAUUCAACUGACGAUAAUCAACUGUCGAAGUGAAGAAGAAUUUGUCACAAAGCUGAUGGGAAAUAUGUCGGCUGUAUUUCAACACGGAGGACGUCUAGCAGCAGCAAAAAGAAAUUCAACUGACGAUAAUCAACUGUUGAAGUGAAGAAGAAUUUGUCAUUGAGCUGGUGGAAAAUGUGUCGGCACUUGGCUGUAUUUCAACACGAAGGACGUCUGGCAGCAGCAAAAAGAAAUUCAACUGACGAUAAUCAACUGUCGAAGUGAAGAAGAAUUUGUCACAAAGCUGAUGGGAAAUGUGUCGGCACUCGUCUUCGUUUCAACCCGGAGGAAGAUUGGCAGCAUCAAUAAGAAGCUCAUCUUUAUGUCAACUGAUGAAAGGAUUUGUUUGCAUUAUAUUAUAAGUUUAAAUUACAUUUAAUCUGCAUAUUAGUUGAAGUUUUAUAGGAACAGAACAUUUAACUGGAUCAUGGACUAUCCACCGACGAAGGAAGAAUUUGUCAUUGACCUGAUGGAAAAUGUGUCGGCACUCGGCUUCGUUUCAACCCGGAGGAAGAUUUGCAGCAUCAAAAAGAAAUUCAAUUGAUGAUAAUCAACUGUCGAAGUGAUGAAGAAUUUGUCAUUGAGCUGGUGGAAAAUGUGUCGGCACUUGGCUGUAUUUCAACACGAAGGACGUCUGGCAGCAGCAAAAAGAAAUUCAACUGACGAUAAUCAACUGUCGAAGUGAAGAAGAAUUUGUCACAAAGCUGAUGGGAAAUGUGUCGGCACUCGUCUUCGUUUCAACCCGGAGGAAGAUUGGCAGCAUCAAUAAGAAGCUCAUCUUUAUGUCAACUGUUGAAAGGAUUUGUUUGCAUUAUAUUAUAAGUUUAAAUUACAUUUAAUCUGCAUAUUAGUUGAAGUUUUAUAGGAACAGAACAUUUAACUGGAUCAUGGACUAUCCACCGACGAAGGAAGAAUUUGUCAUUGACCUGAUGGAAAAUGUGUCGGCACUCGGCUUCGUUUCAACCCGGAGGAAGAUUUGCAGCAUCAAAAAGAAAUUCAAUUGAUGAUAAUCAACUGUCGAAGUGAUGAAGAAUUUGUCAUUGAGCUGGUGGAAAAUGUGUCGGCACUUGGCUGUAUUUCAACACGAAGGACGUCUGGCAGCAGCAAAAAGAAAUUCAACUGACGAUAAUCAACUGUCGAAGUGAAGAAGAAUUUGUCACAAAGCUGAUGGGAAAUAUGUCGGCUGUAUUUCAACACGGAGGACGUCUAGCAGCAGCAAAAAGAAAUUCAACUGACGAUAAUCAACUGUUGAAGUGAAGAAGAAUUUGUCAUUGAGCUGGUGGAAAAUGUGUCGGCACUUGGCUGUAUUUCAACACGAAGGACGUCUGGCAGCAGCAAAAAGAAAUUCAACUGACGAUAAUCAACUGUCGAAGUGAAGAAGAAUUUGUCACAAAGCUGAUGGGAAAUGUGUCGGCACUCGUCUUCGUUUCAACCCGGAGGAAGAUUGGCAGCAUCAAUAAGAAGCUCAUCUUUAUGUCAACUGAUGAAAGGAUUUGUUUGCAUUAUAUUAUAAGUUUAAAUUACAUUUAAUCUGCAUAUUAGUUGAAGUUUUAUAGGAACAGAACAUUUAACUGGAUCAUGGACUAUCCACCGACGAAGGAAGAAUUUGUCAUUGACCUGAUGGAAAAUGUGUCGGCACUCGGCUUCGUUUCAACCCGGAGGAAGAUUUGCAGCAUCAAAAAGAAAUUCAAUUGAUGAUAAUCAACUGUCGAAGUGAUGAAGAAUUUGUCAUUGAGCUGGUGGAAAAUGUGUCGGCACUUGGCUGUAUUUCAACACGAAGGACGUCUGGCAGCAGCAAAAAGAAAUUCAACUGACGAUAAUCAACUGUCGAAGUGAAGAAGAAUUUGUCACAAAGCUGAUGGGAAAUAUGUCGGCUGUAUUUCAACACGGAGGACGUCUAGCAGCAGCAAAAAGAAAUUCAACUGACGAUAAUCAACUGUUGAAGUGAAGAAGAAUUUGUCAUUGAGCUGGUGGAAAAUGUGUCGGCACUUGGCUGUAUUUCAACACGAAGGACGUCUGGCAGCAGCAAAAAGAAAUUCAACUGACGAUAAUCAACUGUCGAAGUGAAGAAGAAUUUGUCACAAAGCUGAUGGGAAAUAUGUCGGCUGUAUUUCAACACGGAGGACGUCUAGCAGCAGCAAAAAGAAAUUCAACUGACGAUAAUCAACUGUUGAAGUGAAGAAGAAUUUGUCAUUGAGCUGGUGGAAAAUGUGUCGGCACUUGGCUGUAUUUCAACACGAAGGACGUCUGGCAGCAGCAAAAAGAAAUUCAACUGACGAUAAUCAACUGUCGAAGUGAAGAAGAAUUUGUCACAAAGCUGAUGGGAAAUGUGUCGGCACUCGUCUUCGUUUCAACCCGGAGGAAGAUUGGCAGCAUCAAUAAGAAGCUCAUCUUAAUUUAGUUGUCCCCCCCUUUAUGCAUUAGCGCUCAUCUCUCAUCCACUCAUCCAACACAUUGACUAUCGCCGGCCGGCAACACACACAUAUUAUACACAUUACCCGUUUUAUAUUAUAUAAAAUUAUUAAUAUCUACAUAGUUUAAGUUAUUGUAUAUUUUUUUUUUAUUAUUUGAAUGCAUUCAUAUGAUCAGUUGCGUAUUUAGAAAUUUUAGAAUAAGAGCAACACAUAUUUUGUUGCCUCCCCCCCCGUUAAAUAAAAAAUUAAAAUAACUUCUAUGCCGCGCAUUGGUCAAACUGUUAAUACCAUAGAAUACCAUGUUAUAUAAAUACUAUAUAGUAUUUUAUACCUCUAUGUCACACAUUUGUUGUGAAAAAUAUUAAUAAUUGACGUCACUGUGCCAGUACUCAUAAAGUACGAAAUAAAAAUUUGCUGCCCCUCUAAAUCUUUAAAAAUUUGCCGUUCUGGACAACUGGACCCAAAGCCCCUACCUAAAUACGCCCCUGCAUAUAGUGCGUUCUCGCUUACAAUGUGGAUUAGGCCUACUGGGGACACCACAAUAAAAAAACGCGCCUUGUGUAAUACCUCAUAAAGUUAUUAAACCAUACGGACAAUGUUAUUGUUCGUCGUUUAAUAAUAAAGGUGGUGUGGAAAAUUA